CAUGAGAGGAAAAGGGGUCCAACUGCUUGGCAUCAGACUAGGGUGACUUGUGGAAGUUGGUUGACUGGCAGCUCGGAAGUUUCAGAGCUUCAGUCCAUUAUCAUCAUGGUGGAAAGCAUGGCAGCAUCCAGGCAGGCAUGGCACUGGAGAAGUGGAGAGUCCUACAUCCUGAUAUGAAGGCAGCCAGGAGAAGACUAAUGGUCUGAAAGCCCACCCACCCCUGCAGUGACACACUUCCUCCAACUAGGCCAUGCCUCCUAAGAGUGUCACUCCCUAUGGGCCAAGCAUAUUCAAGCUACCAUAACUAGGGUGUGGGGUGGGUGUGGGUGCGGGAUGUUCUGAAUGGCUCGUGGGAUGUCCUUCCCACUGAUGGGAUCAUGUGAGUGUGUGUUGUGUCUGACCAGUAGAUCACAACCUGGGUUCUAGCCUGGAAAGGCAUUUUGGAAACCUGGAAGAGAAGAGGGGCUGGGCUGCGCGAGAUAAGGAAGGAACCAAGACAAAGCUCUCUGCUCAAGGUUCAAUUUUUACUAUUUCGGCACUCAGUUAUAAAGGAAGUGGGAGGGGCCCAAUUCCCGCCAAAUAAUCUUGGAGUCCAGUAGCAGGGUGAUCACGUGAUGGCUUCGGAACAGCAAAGCUGCAGGUUCCAGCAGUGGGCGUGGCAGAACGAUUGAGCUGGCAAGCUCCACCCCUGAGCAAGCAGGUUUCAGACUGGGGGAGGGGAGACUACAAGUGUGGGCACUGGGCAGACUCACUUAUCAGAAACAUCAAGGACAGACUGCAAUUGGUAAGGUGCAUCAGGGUGACAGAAGGACAGUGUGCAACUUUGGACUACAAGGAUUUGGGUUACAGUGUUUCAAAGUCUUACAUUGAGACUCUUGAUGCAUUUGCAGCUUCCUGGUGUGUGGGGUGAGAAGAUGGGGAUCUAGUUUAACGUUCUACAUGUAGACACACUCUGUCUGUUGAAGAUGCUAUCAUCGUCCUAGUAAUGAGAUCUGAGCGGAAACUUUGUCUCCAUCAUUGAUCCAGAGUUUUGCCUUCCUGCAUGCCGCAGGGGACGUCUGUCUUCACUGUACCAAAGAUGCCCAGCUGUGAGGGAGGCCCUGUGAGUGCGUAAGGGAACAACAGGUUCAUGUGCUGGGUUCUGUAGGUUUUUCCUCACCUGAAACUGUCUGAAGCUGGAGAACGGUCUUGGAGAACUAGUGCUGCUGCUUUUACAGAGGUCCCCAGAGCUUCAAAGCCACCUGCAAGUCCAGCUCAAAGGGGCCUGGCACCCCCUCUUCUGGCCUCAGAACAACCCAUAAAUACACACAUAUACACACGAAUAAAAAUUCUAAUUUUAAAAUAGGAA
rnacentral:lncRNA from 1 species